UACGUAGGGGGCUAGCGUUGUCCGGAUUUAUUGGGCGUAAAGCGCGUGUAGGCGGCCAGGUAGGUCGGUUGUGAAAACUCGAGGCUCAACCUCGAGACGUCGGCGGAAACCAUCUGGCUAGAGUCCGGAAGAGGAGAGUGGAAUUCCUGGUGUAGCGGUGAAAUGCGCAGAUAUCAGGAAGAACACCCGUGGCGAAGGCGGCUCUCUGGGACGGUACUGACGCUGAGACGCGAAAGCGUGGGGAGCGAACAGG
rnacentral:rRNA from 1 species